AACACCCCACGAAAAAAAACACUCCUAUCGUCCUGGAGAUCCCAAGCUGCUAUCCCUCGUCACGCAGCCGCAGACGCGCUGCUACCCCUCGUCACGCAGCCGCAGACGCCGCGGCCGAUCCGGGGAGACGACGCCGCGACCCGGCGACCGCCGCCGUCGGAGCGGAUCACCAAGACGCGGCCUUCGUGGAUCACCAGGACGCCGCCACUCCUCCCUCUACCGGCUUCGAUCCUUUGUCUAGGGUUCUACGCCGCCGCCGCCCCUGCUCCCGCAUCUCACCUUCGUCCACGAGCACCUGCUGCUGCCACAGUGCGCCGGGCGCAUCCCUUCCGCCAGCGCCGACCAUCUCCCUCCCUCCAGCGCCGGCCGCCUCCCUCCCCGAGUGCGAGUGCCAGUUGCCUCCCCGCGGCCGCCUCCAUCCCCUCCCUCGAACGCACUGGGCCUGCCGAAUCUCGCCGUCGAGCGCGUGGGCCACCCAGGCAGCCAACCUCGUUCGUCGUCUCGGCCACCAUGAUCUACACCGACCAGGCCCUCGGCGAGCAAGCAGUCCCGUUGAUGGGAUUCCCAUGGAGGAUGUUGCCUUGCUGGCGUGGCGGUUGUUGUGCUCAUGUGGUCCUCUCAUGUCGCAGCAGCCAACUACGAUGAUUCACUGAUCUUGCUCUCUCAUGGUAAGGAGCCUGUGGCUCUCAGGUCUCAACUAAUCACAAGGUCCUCUUCUUCCCUCCGAUCUCCUCGACCUGUCCGACGCCGGCGACUCCUCACCGCCCCGGGCCUUUGGAAGAAAAGUUUGGACCAUCCCUCGAUCUCCUCUCCCUGGCCGACGCCGCCGAGGAGAGGAGAGGACGACUGUCAAGGACCGGCAUUCGCCGGCGCGCAGCUCGGCGUUGGUCAGGAAGAGCACCAGCGUCAUGCCCAGGCUCAUGACCCACAGCCGGAGCUUCGUCGCCAACAGGGGCGACCCUCCUCCGCCGUCGAACAAGAUCCCCAAGAGCCCCUUCCCACCUGAGAAGAUCUCGAUGAGCUUCACGUCCGUGUGGAUCAUGAGCAGGAUGGCCAGGAAGGAGGAGCCCUCCUCGCCGGUCUCCGACGACAACGACGACGUUGGCAGCACAGCCAUGUCCUCCAAGCGGCGCCCCUUGUCGGUCGCUCGGGUGCCGUGCCGGGAAAGCUCAAUGCUCUCGGGAAGCCAUGGAGCAGAGGGAGCAGGCGCAGAAGGUGGCGCUUGAGGCCUUGCGCAACGCGUCGGCGACGGAGAACAUAGUUAGGAUCUACAAGUAUGUCCAGCAAUGGCACCUCUUUUUCCUAUGGCAAUUUGACACCGUCUGGACAGAGUGGCUUGUCUGCUUGAGCCCGCAUACUACGACGGCCAACUUGCUCGGUGCACGCGUCGGUUGGUCCCAGGUCAGGCCCCUCUAGAUCCCACUGGGAAGCUGCAGUACUGGAUGGAUGAGAACUACGCUUACAAUUGCGAGCACUGCAAGGUAUGCAUGUGUCCCUCUUCCACGGAUGUCAACAUGUCGUUUUUUAUAAGUUUUAGACACAGUCUGAUCUAUGUACUUUGUCCCUUUUUCCUUAGCAAACAAUGCAUUCUGCGAUAAUGAGCAUAUAGUGUCGAACUAUUAUUAUAACAUUGCAGUUUUGUUCGAGUCCAAGUUCCCGACCAUCAUCUCACAUAUAGUGUUCUCAAAUUAGAUCGAUAGUAAUGCAACUUUAUGCUAGAAUGUGCAACAAAACUAUCUUGUUUGUAUCUGUUAACUGUUGAAUCCCCAAGAUGAAUGCCCGUACAAGAAGCUUGUCAAUCCUAAAUUCUUUCUUAGUAAACAUAUUUGAUCACAUAGUUUUCUUUUUUUGUGAAUUCCGAACAUACUACUUGGAGGAAGGAGGGGGCGGCACAGAGAGGGUCCUCACACAGUCCAGUGAUCGACCACGACGACGCGGCCGUGCGGUGGGUACCCACGGACGCCGCUCUGCCGGGUCGGAGGAGGAGUCCAGAUCCGGCACCUCACCAAGGUCGGCGCUGCACGGUGAGUGCAACUGCCUUGAGAAACCCGGCCCGGCCAUCUUCUCCCCCGAGUUGCUGCCACGGCGAACCCUAUAGGCGCCUCUGCGCCCCAGUCAAGUCUCAUGUGUGCGUUGAUUUAGGAGGAGUGUACUGUUGAGAUCAAUGUCGGGAUCCGCAAGUUUCUAUUGCGUAGCAUCAGAUUAAUAUUGCCAAGCAUGAGCUGGCGGGGCAUAUGGAAGAUAUCCCAUGGGCCAGCAGCUGGAGCCUGGAAGCGGAUGUUAAUGCUCCAUAGCAGAGAGUUUAGGUUUACAGCAAGCAGCGACUACCAAAUUUUCCAUGUAGGAUAUAAACGGAGAUUGUCAUGGAGAUGGUUGCCAUCAGUUCCAUUUUGUUGCACAUCACAAGCCUGCCAUUUUAGUACCUUGAGGUCUGACUCAUGCAUGCAGAUGGGGAGAUGCAUUCAUGUGCUUGCUGUUGCGUGCCAGUAGCUUCGUUCAGUUGCUUCAGUGGGAUAAAGUUACUCGAUGUGGAUUUUGUUCUGUAAACGUUCAACAAAUUUGCCAGCGAGUAGUUUGACACAUACGAGCAUGAGGUUCUUCUGGUAACAAGUUCUUGAUGCGUCGAUAGGAUAAGUUUUACAGAAAUGAGAUGAUCUUCUUAAGGGAGGCAUUUUUACAUCUUUGCACAGGUGUACUUUUGCGGCUGUACUUUUGUUAAUUGAAAGUGGAAUUACCCCAAUUGAUAACCAAAUUUUGUGCUCACUGCCGACAUGGGGUUGACGAUGACGUCCCAGAGCCCUUGCCUCUGCUUGAUGCUGCGUCGAGCAAGAUGAAGCCAUCAGAUACGUGUGGUGUGUAGAGUCCGUUCUAAUCAAUGGAAAGGAAGUGGAGGAAGGGAAAUUGCCUACAGAGUUAUUUACAUUUCAACCUGAUCACAAGGCCAUUAGAGAUUGGACUAUUCCACUCGGUCCGAACUACAUUAGGUCAAUUGUACAUUUUAUUUCAAGUUACGAAGAAUACGAGCUGAGAACAUAUAGGAGCUCUAUGUGGUUUAAAUAUUUUUAGACGAAGUUUGAUGUACUUCUCAUGAAUAUCUUCGUAAACAGAAAUAAUGGUAAACCAUGCACUGCUACAUUAUGUUUCACCAGAAUCACUCUUUAUAAUAUCUUGUUGCUUUCA